GAGCUAAGACUGCGCCGCAAUGCUGAGCAGGUUCCUGGGUCCGCGCUACCGCGAGCUGGCCAGAAACUGGAUUCCCACGGCCAGCAUGUGGGGUGCUGUGGGUGCCGUGGGGCUGGUAUGGGCCACUGACUGGCGGCUGAUUCUGGAUUGGGUGCCCUACAUCAAUGGCAAGUUUAAGAAGGAAGAUUAAACUGAGCCCCCUCAGACCCCUCUGGCAUCUGGUGGUGCUGCCUCCUUCAUCUGCAUCUGGAAUAGCCCAGGCUCUCAGGAUGGACUUCGGGGAAGUACACAACAAAUAGACUUUCUAUGUUGUGGAAAUCGCUUUGGUGUGUGAAUGCACAGCAUUAAACUUGUUCUGAAACCUGCCCACCUGGAUGUGCUUAUGCUGGGGCCUGGUUGUCUUGACUGCAGGCCCAGGGCCCUGAGAGAUCCUGGGAUCCUUUUAGCUCCCAAACUGUGCAAAUGUAGGCAUUUCCCAGUGGCUGGAAGACAUGGCUUGCUGGUUUAAAAUGUUUAGUGGAUAAUCCCUGCAGAGUGAUUUUUAUUUGUUGCUGCCCUAAAACAAACAUUUAUCAUCUCCCAGGAAGGAUUUGGGAGUGAUGGGGGUGGGGGGGAAUCUGGUUGAGGGACCUUUGCAAGGUUGCAGUCGAGGCCUUGGCCUCAUCUGAAGGCCUGACAGGAGCUGGAAUUGCAUCACCAGGAUACAAACAUGAACAGGUACAUGAGGCUAUGGGGUAUACAAGCAGUUCCUGCCAACUCUUGCCAAGUUCUUGAAGAUUCUAGAAACAUUCUCUGUGAAAACAGCUCUUUUUGUCAGUCUGCUCCGAGCACUGCCACAACAAAACACAGGCUGGGCGCUUUAACAACAGCAUGGGUAUCUCACAGUUAUGGAGGCUGAAGGUCCCAGGUCAGGAUCUGGCAGCACCUGUCUCUGGUGAGGCUCUGCUUCCUGGCCCUUGGAUGGCUGCCUUCUCACUGUCCUCACAUGGCCUUUCCUUGACAUGACAAGUGAGCUUUCAGUGACUUAGGGUGCACUAAUUCUACAGGAUUGGGGCCACACCCUUCCAACCUCAUUUGACCUUAAUUAUGUCCUCCAGGGCUCCAUCUCCAGAUGCAGCCAUACUGGAGGUUAGGGAUUCAACAUACGCAUUUUAGGGAGACGCAUACAUCUGGUCCAUAACACCUUUAUAUAUUUAAACACAAGUAGUGGCAUUUGCUACACACUUUGCUGCACAAACUUUUUUUAUCCAAAGCUUAUUUCCUGGAAGCUAUGCCACUUAAAAAAGCACACAAGGAGUUCCCACUGUGGCUCAGCAGAAACAAAUCUGACAACAUCCAUGAGGACGCAGGUUCAAUCCCUGGCCUCACUCAGUUGGUUAAGGAUCCAGCAUUGCCGUGAACUGUGUUGUUAAGUUGCAGACAUGGCUUGGACCCACGAAUUGUGGCUGUGCUGUAGGCCAGUGGCUACAGCUCCCAUUUGACCCCUAGCCUGGGAACCUCCAUAUGCCACAGGUAUGGCCCUAAAAAGACACACACACAAGAAAGCACAUGCAUCAUCAAAAAUUCUACAAAGGAGUUCCCUGGUGGCUCAACAGGUUAACAAUCUGACACAGUGUCCAUGAUAAAGGCCAUCCAGCCUUGCUGUGAGCUGUGGUGUAGGUAGAAGGCACAGCUUGCAUCCCAUGGGGCUGUGGCUAUGGCGUGGGCUGGCGGCUGCAGCUCCCAUUCACCCAGCCUGAGAACUUCCAUGUGCUGAGGGUGUAGCCCUAAAAAAAAAAGUCUACAAAUAAAUUCUGGAGAGGGUGCAGAGAAAAGGGGAACCCUCCUACACUGUUGGUGGGAAUGUAAUUUGGCCCAGCCACUAUAAAAAACAGUAUGGAGAUACCUUAAAAAACUGAAAAUAGGAGUUCGCUUCAUGGCACAGUGGUUAACGAAUCCGACUAGGACCAUGAGGUUGCAAGUUUGAUCCCUACCCUCACUCAGUGGGUUAAGGAUCUGGCACUGCCGUGAUCCCUAGCUCUUAUUGACCCCUAGCCUGGGAAUUUGCAUAAACCAUGCAUGCAGCCCUAAAAGGCAAAAACAAACAAACAAACAAACAAAAAAAAACAGCAUCCUUAGUUUUUAAGUUUUUAAGCAGCUGCCUAGUACCAACGUUAUUAACAAGUCUAUUAGCAAGAGACAUUAAUUUCCUGUCAUUUGCCAUUUUAACAGUAUCCAUGGAGUGAUGUUAUUUCAGACAAAUGAACAGAUGCCACUUAAAAACCUGUAAGUUUGUGAGAAAAGGUACUCUUGAUUUUUUUUUUUUUUUUUUUAACAAUUUCUAGGAAGGUCAGGAGUUCCCGUCGUGGCUAAGUGGUUAAUGAAUCCGACUAGGAACCAUGAGGUUUCGGGUUCGAUCCCUGGCCUUGCUCAGUGGGUUGAGGAUCCGGCAUUGCCGUGAGCUGUGGUGUAGGUUGCAGACGUGGCUCAGGUCCUGCAUUGCUGUGGCUCUGGUGUAGGCUGGCAGCUACAGCUCUGAUUAGACCCCUAGCCUGGGAACAUCCAUAUGCUGUGGGAGCGGCCCUAGAAAAGGCAGAAAGAAAAAAAAAAAAAAAAAAAAAAAAAAAAAAAAAUUUCUAGGAAGUGCCCAGGUGGCAGAGUGGCUUAAGCAUCCAGCAUUGCUGCAGCUGCAGCUGCAGCUCAAGUUCAAUCCCUGAUCCCUGGCCCAAGAAUUUCCACACACAGCCAUUAUGGCCUAAAAACAAACAAAACCCCGCUCCUGCACUGGCCCACGCCUGAGGUAUAUAGGUCCCAGCCACAGAUGCAGCCUGACCCUUAACCCACUGCCCCACAGUGGGAACUCUGAAAGAAACAAUUUCUUCACACAGGUGAAGACAUUCCCACAGUCCCCCAUCAAAGCCCUGGACAAAAGGAAACGUGAGGAGUUCCCAUCAUGGCGCAGCAGAAACAAAUCCAACUAGGAACCAUGAGGUUGCAGGUUCAAUCCCUGGCCUCACUCAGUGGUUUAAGGAUCCAGUGUUCCCAUGAGCUGUGGUGUAGUUUGCAGACAUGACUCGGAUCCAGCUUUGCUGUGGCUGUGGCCAGCAGAUGUAGCUCCGAUUUGACCCCUAGCCUGGGAACCUCCAUAUACCUCAGGUGCGGCCCCCCCAAAAAAAAGAAAGUGUGAGCCCCUAACACAGGAGUUUUUAAUGUAUUUCUAUAAUGGCUAAUGGGUUUGGGGUUUUUUGAUAACAGUUAAUGGUUUUUUGUUUUUGUUACUUGCCACACCCAUGGUAUGUGCAAAUUUCAAAUUCUGAGCCAGGGAUGCAACCUGCACCACAGCAGUGAUGUCAGAUCCUUAACCUACUGAGCAGCAAGGGAACUCCAUUUGGCUUUAAUGAAAACAUAUAUGAGUUUGUUUCUGUGAACACCAGGAAAAGCAAAACUGGGGAGUUCCCGUCGUGGUGCAGUGGUUAAGGAAUCCGACCAGGAACCAUGAGGUCUUGGGUUCGAUCCCUGCCCUUGCUCAGUGGGUUAACGAUCAGGCGUUGCCGUGAGCUGUGGUGUAGGCUGCAGACGCGGCUCGGAUCCCGUGUUGCUGUGGCUCUGGUGUAGGCCAGUGGCUACAGCUCCGAUUCGACCCCUAGCCUGGGAACCUCCAUAUGCCGAAGGAGCGGCCCAAAGAAAUAGCAAAAAAAAAAAA
rnacentral:lncRNA from 1 species